GCAUGCCGCGGUGAAUACGUUCUCGGGCCUUGUACACACCGCCCGUCACACCAUGGGAGUCGGUAACACCCGAAGUCUGUAGCCUGACGCAAGAGGGCGCAGCCGAAGGUGGGAUUGAUGACUGGGGUGAAGUCGUAACAAGGUAUC
rnacentral:rRNA from 1 species